UACGUAGGGUGCAAGCGUUGCUCGGAAUUACUGGGCGUAAAGCGCACGUAGGCGGCUUUGUAAGUUAGAGGUGAAAGCCCGGGGCUCAACCCCGGAAUUGCCUUUAAGACUGCAUCGCUUGAAUCCGGGAGAGGUGAGUGGAAUUCCGAGUGUAGAGGUGAAAUUCGUAGAUAUUCGGAAGAACACCAGUGGCGAAGGCGGCUCACUGGACCGGUAUUGACGCUGAGGUGCGAAAGCGUGGGGAGCAAACAGG
rnacentral:rRNA from 1 species